UCUGGCUUUCUCCUCGUACUGUCGCUCGUGUCCUAGUCUCCUUUGUGAUCUUCUUUUUGGUUGGCCAUGUUUUUUUUUUUUUUUUCCUUUGACUCGCUCGUCUUGUGCCGUCGUGGCCGGAGUAUACCGUGUAGUUUCGGUGGUGGAUAUAUGCAUACUUUGGGCUUCUUCCUGGCAUCCUCCUUUUAGAGAUAUGGUUUAAAGUGGCUCUGGGAUUUCAAUGGAUGCUGACUGUUUUUCAUAUGAUAGUUACACAUAAGCUUCUGAUUAGAAAGUGACUGACUUGUGUUAGAUUAGUUACUGGAAGUUUUUUUCUUCAUGUUUUUUCUAAUCAUAAUUUUCUUUAGUUGAUGAGCACCUUUUCUUCAAUUAGAACAACACAGUGUUGUUGAAUCCUCAAGUGAAUUCCAGUUACCUGGAAAACUAAAUCUCAUUUAAAUGUCUGUAUAAUGUAGUUCUGUCAAAUUGGAAACUUUCUUUCGAUAGUAUUGAUUCUGAAGUCAAACCAUUGUGCUAAUAACUUACAGUCUAUGAACAAAUGACUGAAUAACUUGAGUGCCACGGGUAUUAACUGGAUAAGAAAAAUAUUAUGCGCACUAAAACAUGUAAUUUUCAGCGAUAUUCAUCAAGAACAACAACUUCCGUGUCUGCCUUAAUCCUCUCAAUGUGAGAUGCAGUAAGGUUAAUCCUCCAACUUCAUCACCACUCCAGUUGUUCCCACUCUGGAACUCCAACUCGGAAGCAUUGACCCAAGUUCCACUGCUGUGCUGUGAGAAAUAGACCUCCCACAGCUCACCAGUGAAAUUGCUGAUUGGGAUCCGGAAGAUAUGUGUUCCAAGGAUAUGCAAACUUGUGACAGCUGUAGCCUCAUUUUCCCUCGUAGAAGUAUGAAAAAGAUGGAAGGCCCAAGUGGUGAAGCUCAAUUUUUGUGUAGACAUUGUGCCAAGUUACUGAAAUCCAAACAAUACUGCGGAAUAUGCAAGAAAAUUUGGCAUCAUUCCGACGAUGGAGAUUGGGUAUGUUGCAAUGGUUGCAAUGUAUGGGUGCAUACUGAGUGUGCCAAUAGCCCUUUUGGCCUCAAAUAUGGGAGUCUCCAAUAGAUGACUUUCAUCUAGAGAGUCUGAUAGAACCAGGGGGUAUAGGGGGAAUCAUCUUGUUCUGAACAUCAACUUGGGGGGAGUUGGGGAAAAAGUCUGCUGUUGAAGUUUUAAUAUUCGGAGCUGUCUGAGUGUCCAUAGGAACAUGAUGUUUGCUGAUGUCGCAUUGUGCAGCAGUGAGUAAGAGCAACCUUGAUUGAGGAGUUUCAGGUACGGUCUCUUCGAUAUCAUCUUGAGUUGUUUUCAGUUCAUAGAAAGCCUGCCAGAAAGGGCUAUGUUCCCUGACUUUAGCCUGUAACCAUUGUCCGUAGUACAUCUUGUCAUUCCCUUCAAAUUUUUCCUCAUCAUAUGGGAUAUCUUUGCAAUAGGAUGCAUAGUGACCGAGAAUACCACAGGAGUAGUAGUAAUACGGUAAACAUUCAUAACGGAAAUCAAGCCAUAUGUUUUUUCCUGCCACGUGAAUAAGCUUGCCCGGUUUAAGAGGUACGUCCAUGUGCUGUUUAGGACUUGGGACUUUCAGAAGUAUAUUUAUGUUUGCUUUGGUCUGGAUUAAUAUAUACAGUGACUGGUUGGCCUUACCUGUUGUUGCUUGUUUUAGAUCCUAAACAUAACGUGCGAAAACAACUCAAAUUUUUUGUCAAUUUCAAUUCAUGGGCAGAGGUGAAGCUUAAUAAAUUGGAGUUAGAAUUCUAUCAUUGAUUAGUGUCUGUAUUGGUAGAUUUUAAUGAAUGCUAGUAAGUGUCAAUAUAUAUAUAUAGAUGAAAAGAAUGAUAAUACCACCAAGGAUCUCAAAAUGACACAAUUAGGACAUAUUUUCCCUAAAUCAAUUUUCAUAUUACAAAAAAAAAUCUCAAAAUUGUACAUAUGACAAAUCAACCUUAUGUCAAGUCUUUACAAAAUCUCUGUAAAAUUGCUGAUGAUGUAAAUUCAACAUGGGAAUUCAAGAUAAACGGCCCUUUCAACAAUGCUAUAAUGGGGGAGCCAGAUCUGAAGAAUAUGAUUUGAGAUUAAGAAUUAAGGAAAAUUUGAAUCUGGUCAUUCUAUCUCCCUCCCAAAUCACCAAAAUGUUAGGGUAAAAUAAGACAAAAUUAGGAAUUUUAUCAGACUUUCAAAAUGCGAGAACCUCUUAUCUAAAAGGAAAGUUGCUAAAGAUGGAGAGGAUCGAGGUAAGUUGUCAUCCACUACCAUCAAGAGGGUGCUCGAUGAAGAUAAGGUGAGGGAGAAUUUGCGAGACUUAAUAGAUUCUUUGCUCCAACAUGAUUAUCCUUUGGAAUUGGUAUUUGCAAUAGGAAAGCUUGGGAAGAGAUGCGUUGCCAACGAUAUGAAUGCUUGCUCCGAGAUGGCGGGUCUCAUGACUCUUUUCAAGACCUCCUCGUCCUCGUUGCACUGAGAUCCAUUGAACGAGCUAGAAUUGUCACCACCUCAAUUUCCAUAUGAUUUAAACCUCGAAUGAAUAAAUUAUUUAGCCUCAGAUGUAUACUUAUUUUUUACUAUACAUGAUGAAAUUUCCUAGCACAAAGAUAGACUCCUACUUUUUUUCCUGCGUGUUUGAUCUAGUCCUUAAAAAGAUCUUUAGAAACACUAAUCUAAAUGUCCCUAAUUUUCUAAUUCGACUAAUUUGUAAAAUAAUUUGGAGUGAGAUUAAAUGUAGUAAAUGAAAGCUCUAGGUCUAAAGUAGAAAACUCACCAUUUGCCCCAAGAGCACUAUGGCAUAAUAAAUUAGCGAGUAAUAUUACAUAUUAGUGACAAUAGGAGAAUCAGCAUAUUAUUUAAGUUCAUUGAAGAUGAUGUAAUCCACGCGUUAUAUGCAAAUAACUAUAAAAAUAUGCUGUGACGAAUAAAAAUAGAUGCCAUGAGCUUAUAUUUAGAUUAACAUUAGAUGCACAUAGAGGAAUGUACUUACAUUCUGAUGUGUAAAUACCACAUAGUAGCUCACUGAUAUACACA